AACGUUAUGCAAAAUGGCACCAAUUUGCCAGCCCUGUUCUAAGUUAAUAAGAUCUACUGUAUGUGUGUGAAUGCAGGUACCACUUGGAAUGUCCUCAGCUGAAAUACUCUCAUGUUUUCAAUUUCCGUUUCAGAUGCAUCUUUUUGGGAAAACCGUUUUCUGCCCAAAGGAAAUCAGCUUUCCUGUUUUCUGUUGUUAUCAAUAUUGCUGUUUGGGUUCCCUUGAGUGUGGAUUAAAUGGCAGCUGAGAAAUCUUGUUGGGACCACCUCUUCCCAUUGCCUUUCAAAGUCAAGUCUUGACAAGAAAUGAGUUCUUCCCAAAGAUAAGUACAUUGGAGGUUGGGUCUGGUGGUAGCUUCCUAAUGAAUUUGUGGUGCACAGAUCUGUCCUUGAGCUAUUUUCUGUAAUGUUCUCACUGCAGUGUCCCAUGACUGAUCUUAUUUCAGAGAAUUGUAUGAGUUUUGCAGCAAAUUACAAGGAAGGCCUGGUUCCUAAAAUCAGCUGAAGGCCAAUUAAGGUUUCUUGGGGCGCUUUCCUUCAGCUGCAAUGUCAUCAUAAAUGACUCUCCAGUGCAGUGGAGGGCUGACAUUUUGUAAGCUAAUACUAUAUUUUGGGAGUGAUUAAAAUCUACAUCUCAGUCACCUGCCUGACCAACUGCCAGUGGCCACAAAACAAAAAGAUUACAGUCAAUUCAUAUCCAUUAGGAAAAUGACGUGAAACACUAUUGGUUUAGGCUCAGUGGGGCUUAAUCUGAUUUCAGGAAGAAAGAAGAGGUGUGCAAUUAAAGGAGAGAGGAAAGGCAGAAAAGAAAAUCAAAUGAGAAUUUUCCCCCAAAACCCAAGGCCUUUUUGGUUUGUUCAUUUCCAUAAGGAUUUAUUAAGUACCUGUUGAGUUCUUCCCACUAUGGUAGACCCUGAAAGGGAGGAAGGAGAAAACACUAGCAAUGCCUGUCCUCAGAAUUUGCAGUGAAGUAUGGGGGAAAUACUACACACUGAGGAGGUGGCCAGAGAAUUAGCAGAUUCAUGUUAGUAGGAAUUUAAAAAUAUUCUUUAGGUGCCUGGCACAGUUAGAAAAGGAAAAGAAGAUAAGUGAGAAAGGAUAGUUGACAUCUACAUGCUCUUACUGUGUGCUUCACAUUAAGUUUUACACAUAUUAACUCACCUUUACAACAACCCUACAUACCAUUAUUAUUCCCACUUUACGGAUGAGGAAACUGAGGCCCACAGUAGUGAAGAAACUUGCCUGAGAUCACACAGUCCGCAAGAGGAAGAGCUGGGGUUUGCAUACAGCUAGUCUGGUCCUAGAAUCUGAGGUUUUACCAUUAUUCUAUGUGGCCUCCCAAGGUGAUGGGGUAUUCCUGACCCAUGAGGAUUUUCAUUCUCCAUGGGGAGAUGAGGUCUAGGUGUGGGGAUAAUUAAGCUACAGGUAGAGGGUGUAACAGUGGAGGCAGGGAAUAGAGUGAUUGAUGACUUCAGAAAGGUGGGUGUGCUAACUGAAGUCUGGACAUGGAUGUGUAUAUGUUGGGGGAAGCUCUGCACAGAGGGAUAGAGAAGGUUCUAACCCAGGAAAAGAGCACGAGCAGAGGAGACUGAAAGAAUGGCUACAAUUUGCAGUUACUUGUUUGUAGUUGUCCAAGAAGAGAAAUCAUUAAAUCAAAGGGUGCCUUCUUACAAGGACAAGGGUUUAUAGCACUAGGGACAAGAGCAAGGAUGUGGAAUCUGACAGACUAAAUUUAAAGUUCGAUUGUGUCAUGCUCCUCAAGUGACCUUGAGAGAGUUACCUAGCCUUUAUCGGCAAAUGCAAGAUGGAAAGAACGGCUAUAGAAGAAUUGGGAAAGUCUCUCAUCUUGUAACAGAGCUCAUUUAUUUACUUCUCCAAAAAUAUUCAUUAGGAACCAAUUACCUGCCAUGUGCUGUGCUAGAUGUUGGGACAAUGAACAAGGCAAACAUGAGUGUUGCUCUCUUAGAGCUUGUAUUCUAACUGGGGAGGCAACACAAUAAACAAGCAGUAAUCAACAAGUAAUCUUAGGAUAUGAGAGGGAUUUUGAAGAAAACAUAGGGUUGGGGCCAAGUAGAAUUAAUGGCUUUUACUCUGCCAAGGACAGUGUUUGUCAGGUAGGAGGCAAUCAAAACACAGGAGCUUUCAUUUUACAUUUAUUAAUAGCUCCAUCUUGAAAUUCAACAUGUAAGAGGAAGCCAAGGUAUCAGAUACUCUUUGCUGCCUACCAGGAGGGCAUUUCUCCUUUCACCUUGCUUACAGACCCCUCUUUAAUCCAAGAUUCAUCUUAUGCCCACAGGCAAGGUGUUGGGGUUACAGGAAGCUCAGGAUGGAUGUCUACAUCUCCAAGGAACUAUCACUUUCUACCAAAAUGUGAGAAGAAACUCUGGAAUGCAAUGUCAUGAGGAUGGGAACUGUUGUGUAUUCACUGCUUUCCCCUCAGUGCCCAGGACAGUUCCCAGCACAGAAUAGGGGCUCAACAAAUGUCUGUGGAAUUAUUAAACAGGUCAAUUGAAAUAAACAUGGAUAUAUUUUAGAAUCACACAAGCAUGGCAUAAAAUUUUAAAAAUCCAAACAGAUGGCAGUGCCCAUGCUGCAUUUGAAACAUGGGCUUCCUCAGACUCUGCUCUGAAAUUGCAAUGGAGGAAACCAGUGGUUUCAAGGAACAGAAAUGCAGGGGAAGCUGGGCCAGCCUCAGCUCUACAAGGGUGGUCACCAGCUCCGGGACUGACAAGGGCCAUAGUACAAGACGGAGACGAAGUGCCGAGUUCCCAGAGGCUGUUGGUAGUGGCGAGGCCUGUACCAUGAGCGGUGUCUUCUGGAAGAAUGUCGGGAAGAAGUUUGAAGACAGGCUGGCCCGAAUUCACAGCCCAGGAGAGGUCUGACUUAAAAAUAAAUCCUUGUGUAAAUUAAAAAAGGAAUCUAAGCAAGCCUAUCUAUAAAGUCAGGAUGUUACUGACUGUUAAUUGGUAAUAUAUAUGGCUUAAUAAGAAGACCAUAAACUGGGUUCUGUUUAAUUCUUUAAAUCUUUUUCUGCAUAUAUAGCAUCUUUUUACUCACUUAUUACAAAGUAUCUCACAUAACUCACCUAGAUGUUUGGCCAGAGUGAAUUUUAUGUAGCAUUGAUAUAUGUCAUCAUACUGAACUUGUGUAUUAGACAUGGAAAUAUACUGAAACAUGUAAUUUCUCAUGUUGC